rnacentral:tRNA from 1 species
GUAGGUGUAGCUCAGUGGUAGAGUGCUUGCCUGGCAUGCAUGAGACCCUGGGUUCCAUUCCCCAGCACUGCA